GGAAAAGGGUUCUGAAGUUAGAACAGAUGGUGCAUCAGUCCAUUGCAGAAUUCUGUUUUCAGACAGAGGAAAACUUUAUAUUGAAGGGUCCAAGAAAAAGCACUAGUGAGACUGACAAAUAUGGCCUCUGUAAAGGAAGCUGAAGACCACUUUCUUGGACCUCAUUGCCCCAACUUGUGUCAUACUUGACUUUUCAGCAGUCUAGCUACAUUCAAAAAACCCCUAUGGAAACACUGAACUUCAGGCACAUGCUGUGAAUGCUUUGAUUUCAGUGGAACCUUAAUCACAGGCUUAAAAUGUUAUGCUGAAUUUGGAUUGAAACGCCUAAAAAAACCACUCAAACAACAUCCUGCAGUCUGAUGUAGUGAAUUUCAUAGCAACACCUACAAAAUAAGGUUUGAUGCAUUAAUUUCCUUUGCAGAGAAACAGUGAUAGUGGCAUCAAAUGCCAUUCAUCAAUAAAAUAAAAACACUCUACUGAUUCCAACAUGGUAAGGUCCCUAAAUGGACUUUCAUGUGAGAUAUAUGUGUUCCUGUAGUGAUCACCAAGACAUAUAAAAUAUAAAUUAGUGCACAGUAAAGCAUCUGUGACUUGGUAAGUGGUCUUUCUGUUCUACGCUCCUCUACAGUGCUGGUUAGUUAUGCCUUUGUGCCUUCCUCAGGCAUCACUGGUUUUUCUCACAUGGUGACUACAGUGACUGAGAUAAUUAACAGUUGCUAAUGUUUCAAAUUAAAUUAUAUCAAUUUCAGGGAAUCCAAAUUGGACUUGGAGCUUCUCAAUGGGAUGAAAAGUAAUCAAAGAAGAAGAGUGUCAAAAGUACUGGAGGGAUGACCAAUGCUACA